rnacentral:rRNA from 1 species
GAUGAACGCUGACAGUAUGCUUAACACAUGCAAGUCAACCGGAAUUUGGGUUUUUCUCUUAGGUUUGGAUGGCGGACGCGAGAUUAACGCGUAAAGAAUUUGCCUCACAGCUAGGGACAACAUUUGGAAACGAAUGCUAAUAUCCAAUAUGAUGAUAAUAGGGCAUCCUAUAAUUAUGAAAGCUAUAAGCGCUGUGAGAGAGCUUUGCGUCCCAUUAGCUAGUUGGAGAGGUAACGGCUCACCAAGGCGAUGAUGGGUAGCCGGCCUGAGAGGGUGAUCGGCCACAAGGGGACUGAGACACGGCCCUGACUCCUACGGGAGGCAGCAGUGGGGAAUAUUGGACAAUGGACCGAGAGUCUGAUCAAGCAAUUCUGUGUGCACGAUGAAGUCUUUCGGAAUGUAAAGUGCUUUCAGUUGGGAAGAAACAAAUGACGGUACCAACAGAAGAAGUGACGGCUAAAUACGUG